GGGAUAAACAGAUACAAUCUUUUGACUCCCAUCAUGGUAAACCUGGUGAAAUAGUUGGAAAAUUCAAAGAAGGCCAAACAUUUUCAAGCUCGCAGAUGGGGUAUUCACCAAGGGAUAAUAAUAAUAGAGUUAGUGCCAACAGGUCCCCUGUUAAUGGAAAAGGCCGAAUUCUCCAAAGAGAGCUUUCAGACCUGGAGUUAGGUGAACUUCGCGAGCCUUUCC
rnacentral:misc_RNA from 1 species